rnacentral:lncRNA from 1 species
AUGUUUAAUGCGGGUUUGAAAAGCCCCGAGCUCGGUGCGGCUGCAGCGGCUGCUGCCAGGCGCAAAUCCCAGGCUCCAGAUCUCCACGGGGAGGUCGGGGGGGGCCGGCAGCUGGCGCGGGGCCCCCCCCCCCCCCCCCCGGUCGGGGGGGGCCGGCAGCUGGCGCGGGGGUGUGGAGGAGGGAAAGCAGACGUGCUGGAUCCGGCUCUGCGGAGCUCCCGCUUCCAACAGGCUUCCUUGUCUUCCAGCUACGCGUGGGGCUCCCCCUCUGCCCCCCAUCCCCCCCGCUUCCAACAGGCUUCCUUGUCUUCCAUCUACACGUGGGGCUCCCCCUCUGCCCCCCAUCCCCAGGUGAAAGCGGGCUGUGCAGGACAAGCGGAUCUCCCCAGUCCAGCGUGUUCCGCCAGCCCUGCCUCAUCUAUGCACCCUCCAGGACUCAGUGACCUCGUGGCAAGCCUGGAUGGGUCCAUCCCUCAUUCCUCCUCAUGGAUCCUGGAUCGGGAUCUGCCUGGGAGCCGGGCACAGGACUUGAGGCUGAGCCGUGUGCCGGCUGUUGGGACCAGGGGGGCUCAUGGAGCGGGGCUGGGGUCAGGCAGGGAAUGGACACGCUGUGAGACCCCCAGGGCAAGGGGAAGCAGGGACAGGCCGGCAGAGCCUCGUUAUCUAUCCUGGGAAAGCCUGUUAUCCAGGUGGAACCUUGUUAUCCUGGCACAGCCCAUUGCUUUUUUGCACAGGAGCCUGUGGAGGCAGGGGAGAGAACGUGAGUGGGACCAUGCAGGGACACCCCGACAGCACCGGGCUGCUGGGGACCCUCUUUCUCUGACCCUGCUGGGGGGGCACCCCCAUGUGCCCCCUUCAAAACCCCUGCUCCCCUGGCACUCCCCCCCAAGGUUCCCCUGGCUCUCACUGCUGACCCAUCCCCCACAACUUGAGCAUUUUAACAAGCAAACACUAAUUACAUGGGAGGGGGCGUUUGCGCUGGGUCUGGUGCAUCAGGGGGCAUGUGGGGGGGCCCUGGGGGCCGGUGAUGUUUUGCCUUACACUCCCUGUCCGACGGGUGGUCCCACGGCGGGGGUCACACUAACGUAG